AUCUCUUGGUUCCGGCAUCGAUGAAGAACGCAGCGAAAUGCGAUAAGUAAUGUGAAUUGCAGAAUUCAGUGAAUCAUCGAAUCUUUGAACGCACAUUGCGCCCCUCGGUAUUCCGGGGGGCAUGCCUGUUCGAGCGUCAUU
rnacentral:rRNA from 1 species